AUGGAGUAAGCCAUUGUCACCCUGUCCAAUUAGUAGGCUUCCCAUAAAUAUCUGGAAAGAAGCAGCAUGUAGGCCUUUGGCCUUAUAUUGCAGAGCUAGCAAAACUGAGUAUUUUCCUAGACCCUGAAGACUGACCAAAGAACCACAGCCAAAAUGUAUUGACUACUUUUCUCAUACGGCUACUCUCUCUUUUGUGAUGAAUGGUGCUGAAAUGAUGGCACUUUCCAAGGGGACCACCCAGAGUCAAGAGAAGGAAUGCUUUCACACAGCUGACAGCUUCUGGGCUAGUCUUUUUAAAAAUUGUCUUUUCAAUCUGUCAUUCAUAAAACAAUAGAUUCCUGUA